AAAACCUACUGUGGAACCAUAUCCAUUACAUAUACUGAAGAAGAGCACGCAGACCAGCUGUGGGAACAUCAGGAUGUAGGCCACUUCUCCUCCCAGGACCCAGAAAGCCAUGACUCCGGUGUGCAGGAAGGGCCAUGUCGGCAUGAUGUGCCUGCGUCCUGUUUUCAUCCCGUUUGGAUUUGAUGGAGGCCCAGAUGCCGAUGCCGAGUACCAAGAGGUAGAAAAUAAUUGUAGCUAUGAGUCCCGGGACGUUCAGAGCCAUGGCCUGUGAGACUGGUGCAGAAUACAGACGAACGACAGCUGCAGGCGCACUGUGCAACACGUUCGACUUGAAUAACUUGACGGAGUGGAGGGAGUGGCUGACAUUAAUAAGGGCUAAGGUUACACCUUCAUACAUCCUAAAACCAUAGAUUGUCAACAUGUCAGAGAGGACACUUCUACUGGUCAAUCCACUGGGUAACGAAGACAAG